CUCUGUGGUUGAUAGAAGAUAGAGACUGUGGUUGAAUAGAAGAUAGAGACUCUGUGGUUGAUUAGAAGAUAGAGACUCUGUGGUUGAAUAGAAGAUAGAGACUCUGUGGUUUAAUAGAAGAUAGAGACUCUGUGGUUGAAUAGAAGAUAGAGACUCUGUGGUUGAUAGAAAAUAGAGACUAUGUGGUUGAAUAGAAGAUAGAGACUCUGUGGUUGAAUAGAAGAUAGAGACUGUGUGGUUGAUAGAAGAUAGAGAUUGUGGUUGAUAGAAGAUAGAGACUCUGUGGUUGAAUAGAAGAUAGAGACUCUGGGGUUGAAUAGAAGAUAGAGACUCUGUGGUUGAAUAGAAGAUAGAGACUCUGUGGUUGAUAGAAGAUAGAGACUGUGGUUGAAUAGAAGAUAGAGACUCUGUGGUUGAUAGAUGAUAGAGACUCUGUGGUUGAUAGAAGAUAGAGACUCUGUGGUUGAUAGAAGAUAGAGACUCUGUGGUUGAUAGAAGAUAGAGACUGUGGUUGAUAGAAGAUAGAGACUCUGUGGUUGAUAGAAAAUAGAGACUCUGUGGUUGAAUAGAAGAUAGAGACUCUGUUUGAAUAAAAGAUAGAGACUCUGUGGUUGAUAGAAGAUAGAGACUCUGUGGUUGAAUAAAAGAUAGAGACUCUGUGGUUGAUAGAAGAUAGCGACUCUGUGGUUGAAUAGAAGAUAGAGACUCUGUGGUUGAAUAGAAGAUAUAGACUCUGUGGUUGAAUAGAAGAUAGAGACUCUGUGGUUGAAUAGAAAAUAGAGACUCUGUGGUUGAAUAGAAGAUAGAGACUCUGUGGUUGAUAGAAGAUAGAGACUCUGUGGUUUAUAGAAAAUAGAGACUCUGUGGUUGAUAGAAGAUAGAGACUCUGUGGUUGAUAGAAGAUAGAGACUCUGUGGUUGAUAGAAGAUAGAGACUCUGUGGUUGAUAGACGAUAGAGACUGUGGUUGAUAGAAGAUAGAGACUCUGUGGUUGAUAGAAAAUAGAGACUGUGGUUGAAUAGAAGAUAGAGACUGUGGUUGAAUAGAAGUUAGAGACUGUGUGGUUGAUUAGAAGAUAGAGACUCUGUGGUUGAAUAGAAGAUAGAGACUGUGGUUGAAUAGAAGAUAAAGACUCUGUGGUUGAUAGAAGAUAGAGACUCUGUGGUUGA
ensembl:lncRNA